AACGAACGCUGGCGGCAUGCCUAACACAUGCAAGUCGAACGAGACCUUCGGGUCUAGUGGCGCACGGGUGCGUAACGCGUGGGAACCUGCCCUUAGGUUCGGAAUAACUCCCCGAAAGGGGUGCUAAUACCGGAUAAUGUCUUCGGACCAAAGAUUUAUCGCCUUUGGAUGGGCCCGCGUUGGAUUAGCUAGUUGGUAGGGUAAAAGCCUACCAAGGCGACGAUCCAUAGCUGGUCUGAGAGGAUGAUCAGCCACACUGGGACUGAGACACGGCCCAGACUCCUACGGGAGGCAGCAGUGGGGAAUAUUGGACAAUGGGCGAAAGGCUGAUCCAGCUAUGCCGCGUGAGUGAUGAAGGCCUUAGGGUUGUAAAGCUCUUUUACCCGGGAUGAUAAUGACAGUACCGGGAGAAUAAGCUCCGGCUAACUCCGUG
rnacentral:rRNA from 1 species